rnacentral:rRNA from 1 species
UACGAAGGGGGCUAGCGUUGUUCGGAAUUACUGGGCGUAAAGCGUAUGCAGGCGGAUCGUUAAGUCGGAUGUGAAAUCUCCCUGGCUUAACCGGGAGAGUGCAUUUGAGACUGUCAACCUGGAGGGCAGCAGAGGAGCGUGGAAUUCCGGGUGGAGUGGUGAAAUGCGUAGAGAUCCGGAGGAACACCAGAGGCGAAAGCGGCGCUCUGGGCUGCACCUGACGCUGAACUGCGAAAGCCAGGGGAGCGAACGGG